rnacentral:rRNA from 1 species
GACGAACGCUGGCGGCGUGCUUAAUACAUGCAAGUCGAGCGGGGUUACUACGACAGAUUCCUUCGGGAUGAAGUUGUUUUAACCUAGCGGCGGACGGGUGAGUAACGCGUGGGCAACCUGCCCUAGAGCCCGGGAUAACAGCGGGAAACCGCUGCUAAUACCGGAUACCUUUAUUGGGAGGCAUCUUCUAAUAAAGAAAGUGUUAGCGCUCUAGGAUGGGCCCGCGUCCCAUUAGCUAGUUGGUGAGGUAACGGCUCACCAAGGCGACGAUGGGUAGCCGGCCUGAGAGGGUGGACGGCCACACUGGGACUGAGACACGGCCCAGACUCCUACGGGAGGCAGCAGUAGGGAAUAUUGCGCAAUGGAGGAAACUCUGACGCAGCGACGCCGCGUGAGCGAUGAAGGUCUUCGGAUCGUAAAGCUCUGUCCUCAGGGAAGAAGAAAGUGACGGUAC